AUCGCUUCUCGGCCUUUUGGCUAAGAUCAAGUGUAAAACACAGUCCUUUAUAAUUCUAAACAAUUUUGGUACUGAAUUUUAAAAAUAUCCUUGAUUCUGGGUAUUGUUCAGGGCAACUGAAGUACCCCCAUCCCUGGUGAGCCACAUUUGUAUUGUUAGUUAUGCUUUCAAUCGGGGAUUUUGCAUU
ensembl:snRNA LOC120097285 U2 spliceosomal RNA